UCCCAGAACUCAGAGGCAGAGGCAG
rnacentral:piRNA from 1 species